rnacentral:misc_RNA from 1 species
AUAGGUUUGCUUGACUUCACAAUGAACAGUCUGAUAGUACAGUUAUUGGCUUCCAUCAUUGUCUUCGUCGCUCUCUCGUUCACCCAGGGGAACGGUAGUAGGAGUGGACGCUCAGUCAAGGAGACCAUUCGAUCUGGCGGGAAAAGUAGCGAGGAACAGAGAUCCAUUGGGUCUUCGCUGCCUUCGGACGCAUACAAUGCUGCUAGCUUUCAGAACAAGUUUAAAGUUGAUAACAAUACGGGAACAGCCGUUGUUUGUGGACCAGAUGGAGCCCAUUUGAAUGUUUCAUGGAGACCGAAAGUUAUUGACCCGGAUAAGUCUAUCCAGUUAUAUUUCGACAUCACAAAUCCCAUAGACUUCGGAAAGGGUCAAGCCAAUGUAGAUGUGUACAUGGAGGGCAGCUCUGAUCCUAUUUUCUCUGUGGUUCAAGAGAUCGCUUGCAAUGAUAUCAGUAAAGUGACACCGCUUAUACAAUGUCCUUUGAAGAAAGGAGGUAGUAAAUCACAAAAGUAUCUGUAAACCUGUAAACUAUGAUAAUGACCUCUUAGUCCUACGUCAGUUUAUGACAAAGCAACUUAGUCUUUAUGUUAAAACAUCUUAGAUACGUGCAUAUUGUUCUUUAAAACCAUACUUAGUAUGUCAAUUGUUGGCGCUGUCUCGUUUUUGUUUUUUUUGGUGUUUUUUUUUCUUACUUUUCUCCCAUUUUUCUUAAGUACAUAUUUUACUAGUAUAAGACGAUCAUUUAAUUCUUCAUAUAUCUUUUAAAAUGACGUAAAUAUGUCUGAAUGUCCUUUUCUGACGUCUCACUUUAAUAUUUACAAGCAGUCUAUAUAUUUCUCAUGCAACUGACAAUAGUAUGAAACCCGUUUUCUCUUUAACAGAUAAUCAUAAGUUUCAAUACAAAUACAGCGAUUUGAACAGAUUGCCAGUCGGGGCCUACAUAAUCGUACUGAAGAUCUUCAGUUAUGAAGGAAACCCGCAUCCACUGUUUGCCUGUUUGAACCUAACCCUACACAUUGUACCAUCGGAUCAAAUGCUGUUCAAUCCAGCUCCUUGACUGAUUGUAUAGACCUCAUCAGAAGAAUAAGGGUACAAGCAUACUGAAACAGGUUAUUACACAACAAAAUCAUUCAUGUGUAUUCGUGUGCGCAUUUUUUUGGCCAGGACAACCAAUCAAAAUGUUUAUAAAUGUUUUGAUGAAUUUAAAUGCACACUUGCGUUAUUAUUGAAGCAUGAGAAUGAAAAACUUGAUUGUCAUUUCUUUAAAUGUUCUACAAAAAUACAACUUACGUAUAUACUCAGCUUUUUUAUAGGACUAAAUGUUAUGAUGGCGAAAUACUUGUAUAAUAAACCAAAAUGUUCAUU